UACGUAGGUGGCAAGCGUUGUCCGGAUUUACUGGGCGUAAAGAGCGCGCAGGCGGUCGAUCAAGUCGAGUGUGAAAGCCCCCGGCUCAACUGGGGAGGGUCAUUCGAUACUGAUCGACUCGAAGGCAGGAGAGGGUAGUGGAAUUCCCGGUGUAGUGGUGAAAUGCGUAGAUAUCGGGAGGAACACCAGUGGCGAAGGCGACUACCUGGCCUGUUCUUGACGCUGAGGCGCGAAAGCUAGGGGAGCAAACGGGG
rnacentral:rRNA from 1 species